CAAAAUUUCAAAUACAAAAGGGGAAAUAACUCUCAUAUGGAAUCUCGAUACGGCUUCGGUCAAAAUAAAACAGAACAUCCUUAGGAUAUGACGAGCAAUUUGGAAAAAUAAAUUUGUCGGUUUCUUAUACGGUUGCGAAGCCUUAGCGAUAACAAGAAAAACAGUGUUCAGGGAGAUAACUCUUAUAUGGGAAAGUAUUCGGUUAAGCAGAGUUGGUUUCAAAAGCGUAUAAACUGUUCGAUAUCAUAUUCAAAAUAUCAAAUCGACAUCUUGCGAAACAAAAAAACAGCGAAGGAAAAAAAUUAGGCGGAAGAAAAAAAAAAAUAA
rnacentral:lncRNA from 1 species